rnacentral:lncRNA from 1 species
GAGUGCAAGGAGUACUAUUCAGGCAAAAGAAAGAGGCUCUUUUGAAGUAGCUAUGCCUUGAAUAUUCUGCUUUUUAGUUAUGAAGUCAAGUGUGAUGAAUAACCAGGUUUAAUUUUAAUUAGCUUUUGAUCCAUGUUUUGUUGCAUAGAACUGUUUAAAGCUGUUCCACUGGACUCAUUUUGUAUGUUUUUCUCCAGGUGUGCUGGAAGCUUCCUUGAACAGGUUUCUUCCUUCAUCAGAACCUGCUCCAGUCCCACCAAUUCCCAAUGAACAGCAGUUGGCCAGAUUGACUGACUAUGUGGCUUUCCUGGAAAACUGAUCACCCUGCUCCUGUGUUCAGAACAACGUGGGAAUCUUGUGUACUGACAGUUUUAGAUCCAAGAUUUAUUUUAUUCUCUAUCUGUUAAAUGUUGCAGCGUCCCCCACUCAAAAGUGUGAAGUAUCCAGUGUAUGUCAGCCCCACUCCUGUUUUGCCAAAGGCCAGCUAGCAGUGAAACAAUCCUUUGACUCCUGCAAUAUUUAUUCAGUAGGUACACAGCAUACACAGCAGUAUUACAUAGUACCUUUUUUUUUUAAUUGACUCAAAGCAGAACUGUUUUCAGGUGUGUUAGAAAUGGAGAAGAAACAGUUUUCUGGUGAGUACUGCAGUGCUUUUCACAGAUCUACUGCAUGUUGAACUAGAGGACGGAGAGUGGAAGACUGCCCAGCCUGUAUGUACAGAGAAAAAAUAUUUUGAUGAAAGUGAAAGAAAACAAUUUUGCAGUAACUCUCUUGCAAAUAUUUAUGUGGCAUAUUUAUAAUUGAUUUUUUUCUUGUUCUUUCUAGAUUGUUAAAUCAUCUUGUUCUGAUGUGAGAAAUUUAACAUCAAGCAUAUUUUUACAGCAGAAUCAUUGUUUAACAAGGAGAAAUCUACACUUGGAGGAAGUAAUUUGACUUUUGGAAGGCUUCAUUUGAGUGAAGUAGGACACCAGAUGUUUUCCUGGGUAACCCUACACCUGGAGACCUGUCAUGUCUUGCUCCCUUUCAUUAUGGUGGGCCAGGAUCUGCAAGAAAUAACAAUUAUUACCUGUCUUUAAGCUUUCUGGGUUACUUUUGCAGUGAUUGGAGAGGAGUUUCAAGGUUAGAGUAGGAGCAGCGCCUAGCUGGGAGGAGGGUGAUGCAUUAUGCUGCAGUAUCAGUUUGAAGAGUAAUUCUCCCUGUAGGAGCAGUGCUGUGUUAAUCUUUGAGCUGAGAGUGGAUUUUAGAAGCAGACGCGAAUUCUCUUGCCAUU